rnacentral:rRNA from 1 species
GGGUGAGUAAUGUCUGGGAAACUGCCUGAUGGAGGGGGAUAACUACUGGAAACGGUAGCUAAUACCGCAUAACGUCUUCGGACCAAAGUGGGGGACCUUCGGGCCUCACACCAUCGGAUGUGCCCAGAUGGGAUUAGCUAGUAGGUGGGGUAAUGGCUCACCUAGGCGACGAUCCCUAGCUGGUCUGAGAGGAUGACCAGCCACACUGGAACUGAGACACGGUCCAGACUCCUACGGGAGGCAGCAGUGGGGAAUAUUGCACAAUGGGCGCAAGCCUGAUGCAGCCAUGCCGCGUGUAUGAAGAAGGCCUUCGGGUUGUAAAGUACUUUCAGCGGGGAGGAAGGCGAUAAGG